GUCUGUGGUCCUUAUACAUACAUAAAGGAAGUAAAAAAGGAGAGAUCCUUGUGUAGUAAAUCACAAUGUUCAAUGGUGAAUAUUUAAAUAAAUGGCUUCUCACCUGGUAGGGAGCCCUUAUACCUGGCUCAGAGUAUGUAGGUAUCGGUGCCUUUAAGGAGGCUACCACCCUUCUUUUAGCAGCAAAAAGAUGGAAGAAGGACUUCAAUGUUGGACAAAAUUUCUUCAUUAAAAUAUAAUGCAAACAAAAAAAAGGAAGUGUACUAAAUUAUAUAAAUAAAAAAGAAAAAUGAAUAAAAUGUCAAUGAAAAGUCCUUUCUUCCAGCCGAGACGCGUUUUGCUGUACUGUGACAGCUUUCUCAAUCGGUAAUGUGUUUGCUGCUUGUGGAGAUUUAAAUAUCUUUCUAUUUGAUUGGUGCUCCAAUCUUCUUAUUAUCCAAUCCCCAUACCGACAUACUUCUUUGAAGGAUAAUUCUUAUUG